rnacentral:rRNA from 1 species
AUUGAACGCUGGCGGCAGGCCUAACACAUGCAAGUCGAGCGGAUGAAGGGAGCUUGCUCCUGGAUUCAGCGGCGGACGGGUGAGUAAUGCCUAGGAAUCUGCCUGGUAGUGGGGGAUAACGUCCGGAAACGGGCGCUAAUACCGCAUACGUCCUGAGGGAGCAAGUGGGGGAUCUUCGGACCUCACGCUCUCAGAUGAGCCUAGGUCGGAUUAGCUAGUUGGUGGGGUAAAGGCCUACCAAGGCGACGAUCCGUAACUGGUCUGAGAGGAUGAUCAGUCACACUGGAACUGAGACAAGGUCCAGACUCCUACGGGAGGCAGCAGUGGGGAAUAUUGGACAAUGAGCGAAAGCCUGAUCCAGCCAUGCCGCGUGUGUGAAGAAGGUCUUCGGAUUGUAAAGCACUUUAAGUUGGGAGGAAGGGCAGUAAGUUAAUACCUUGCUGUUUUGACGUUACCAACAGAAUAAGCACCGGCUAACUUCGUG